rnacentral:rRNA from 1 species
UACGUAGGGGCGCAGCGUUAUCCGGAAUUAUUGGGCGUAAAGAGCUCGUAGGCGGUUUGUCGCGUCUGCCGUGAAAGUCCGGGGCUCAACUCCGGAUCUGCGGUGGGUACGGGCAGACUAGAGUGAUGUAGGGGAGACUGGAAUUCCUGGUGUAGCGGUGAAAUGCGCAGAUAUCAGGAGGAACACCGAUGGCGAAGGCAGGUCUCUGGGCAUUAACUGACGCUGAGGAGCGAAAGCAUGGGGAGCGAACAGGG